GAUGAACGCUGGCGGCGUGCCUAAUACAUGCAAGUCGAGCGAACUUUUGGGAGCUUUCUCCCAAACGUUAGCGGCGGACGGGUGAGUAACACGUGGGUAACCUGCCUGUAAGACUGGGAGAACUUCGGGAAACCGGAGCUAAUACCGGAUAACAUUGAAGACAGCAUGGCGUGCAAUUAAAAGGUGGCUUUUAGCUACCACUUACAGAUGGACCCACUUGGGAUUAGCUAGUUGGUGGGGUAACGGCUCACCAAGGCGACGAUCCCUAGCCGGUCUGAGAGGAUGACCAGCCACACUGGAACUGAGACACGGUCCAGACUCCUACGGGAGGCGGCAGUGGGGGAUAUUGCACAAUGGGCGCAAGCCUGAUGAAGCCAUGCCGCGUGUAUGAAGAAGGCCUUCGGGUGUUAAAGUACUUUCAGCGGGGAGGAAGGGAGUAAAGUUAAUACCUUUACUCAUUGACGUUACCCGCAGAAGAAGCACCGGCUAACUCCGUG
rnacentral:rRNA from 1 species